UUUGUCUUUCCUGCUUGUUUCUAUGGAACCUGGUUUGCAAGGUGCUGUGAUUGUCUCCAGGACUUGAACCUCCUGUCUUAAGCUCAGAAAACAAUUCCGAUUCAGACUGAGGAUCCACUAAAGAGUAUCUUAAGCAAUAAUCUUAAAAUGAGAAAGAUGAGAAGGAGUUGUAAGGACAUCUAAGGGGACAAACUUCUCUAUGUUACCUGGAUCUCAGGUAUGUAUGUGAAAUCUUGACACUGGUAUGAGCAAAAAUGGCAGUGUGUUGUGUUAUGUAAUGUUUGCCUAAAUUGUGCUCACUUAAACUUUCCAUCCUAUCUAUUUCUGCUCUGACUGUUGCAUCAUUUAUUCAGUAAAGAUCCUCUAGAGAUGAAAGUAUGUAAGACUUUGAGCCUGUAAAUUAUCAUUAACAUCCCUAUUUUUCAACCAUAUAGGCAAAAGCUAUCAGUCACAAGGUGAAAGUCUUUUUCCAUUACUUUAUCAUUAAUUUGG
rnacentral:lncRNA from 1 species